UCUGUCGUGAAAGUCCGGGGCUUAACCCCGGAUCUGCGGUGGGUACGGGCAGACUAGAGUGCAGUAGGGGAGACUGGAAUUCCUGGUGUAGCGGUGGAAUGCGCAGAUAUCAGGAGGAACACCGAUGGCGAAGGCAGGUCUCUGGGCUGUAACUGACGCUGAGGAGCGAAAGCAUGGGGAGCGAACAGGAUUAGAUACCCUGGUAGUCCAUGCCGUAAACGUUGGGCACUAGGUGUGGGGACCAUUCCACGGUUUCCGCGCCGCAGCUAACGCAUUAAGUGCCCCGCCUGGGGAGUACGGCCGCAAGGCUAAAACUCAAAGGAAUUGACGGGGGCCCGCACAAGCGGCGGAGCAUGCGGAUUAAUUCGAUGCAACGCGAAGAACCUUACCAAGGCUUGACAUGUUCUCGAUCGCCGUAGAGAUACGGUUUCCCCUUUGGGGCGGGUUCACAGGUGGUGCAUGGUUGUCGUCAGCUCGUGUCGUGAGAUGUUGGGUUAAGUCCCGCAACGAGCGCAACCCUCGUUCCAUGUUGCCAGCACGUAAUGGUGGGGACUCAUGGGAGACUGCCGGGGUCAACUCGGAGGAAGGUGAGGACGACGUCAAAUCAUCAUGCCCCUUAUGUCUUGGGCUUCACGCAUGCUACAAUGGCCGGUACAAUGGGUUGCGAUACUGUGAGGUGGAGCUAAUCCCAAAAAGCCGGUCUCAGUUCGGAUUGGGGUCUGCAACUCGACCCCAUGAAGUCGGAGUCGCUAGUAAUCGCAGAUCAGCAACGCUGCGGUGAAUACGUUCCCGGGCCUUGUACACACCGCCCGUCAAGUCACGAAAGUCGGUAACACCCGAAGCCGGUGGCCUAACCCUUGU
rnacentral:rRNA from 1 species